AUGGAAGCACGGCGAGGUGGAGUUGGAGGCGUGGCUAGAUCUUCCACGGCCCUGAGAGCUGCCUGGUGUAAACCGUAUUCAGGUAUUACAGACCCUUUCGUAGCUGAAGCACUUGCAGUUCGUGAUGGAGUUAUCUUUGCAAAGCUUCGGGGCUACGACAAAGUUGUCAUUGAGACAGACUGUAUGGAGAUCGUUGAUCUCUGGAACUCGCGUCAGGUUCAUCGAGCAGUGGUGGCGCCUAUCUUGUUCGAGAUUGGGGAGCAUGCUUGUAGUUUUUCUUCUUUCCUUGUUCAACAUGUGUGUAGAUCAGCAAACUUUUCUGCCCACCUUUGUUCCAAGCAAGCUAGCACUUUGGAGGUUACAGAUUGCUGGUUAGACAUUAUUCCGAGUUUUCUUGUAACUAGCCUCCUGGCGGAUGAUGCUGGGGCGGUUGAUGUUGAAUAA
rnacentral:rRNA from 1 species